rnacentral:rRNA from 1 species
AGCAGCCGCGGUAAUACGAAGGGACCUAGCGUAGUUCGGAAUUACUGGGCUUAAAGAGUUCGUAGGUGGUUAAAAAAGUUGGUGGUGAAAUCCCAGAGCUUAACUCUGGAACUGCCAUCAAAACUUUUUAGCUAGAGUAUGAUAGAGGAAAGCAGAAUUUCUAGUGUAGAGGUGAAAUUCGUAGAUAUUAGAAAGAAUACCGAUUGCGAAGGCAGCUUUCUGGAUCAUUACUGACACUGAGGAACGAAAGCAUGGGUAGCGAAGAGGAUUAGAUACCCUCGUAGUCCAUGCCGUAAACGAUGUGUGUUAGAUGUUGGAAAUUUAUUUUCAGUAUCGCAGCGAAAGCGUUAAACACACCGCCUGGGGAGUACGACCGCAAGGUUAAAACUCAAAUGAAUUGACGGGGACCCGCACAAGUAGUGGAGCAUGUGGUUUAAUUCGAAGAUACGCGCAGAACCUUACCAACACUUGACAUGUUUGUCGCGACUUUAAGAGAUUAAAGUCUUCGGUUCGGCCGGACAAAACACAGGUGCUGCAUGGCUGUCGUCAGCUCGUGUCGUGAGAUGUUGGGUUAAGUCCCGCAACGAGCGCAACCCUCACUUUUAGUUGCCAUCAUUUAGUUGGGCACUCUGAAAGAACUGCCAGUGAUAAGCUGGAGGAAGGUGGGGAUGACGUCAAGUCCUCAUGGCCCUUACGUGUUGGGCUACACACGUGCUACAAUGGUAUUUACAACAGGAAGCAAGACGGCAACGUUAAGCAAAUCCUAAAAAGAUACCUCAGUUCGGAUUGCACUCUGCAACUCGAGUGCAUGAAGCUGGAAUUACUAGUAAUCGUGGAUCAGCGUGCCACGGUGAAUGCGUUCCCGGGUCUUGUACACACCGCCCGUCACACCAUGGGAGUUGGUUCUACCUUAAGGCAAAGUUUAAAACCUUUGACCACGGUAUAGUCAGCGACUGGGGUGAAGUCGUAACAAGGUAACCG